CCCUUAGAUGUCCUGGGCCGCACGCGCGCUACACUGAGUGUCUGAGAUACGAGUCUGCCUGGUCCGGCAAGGUCUAGGUAAUCGCUAAAAGACACAUCAUGCUUGGGAUAGAUUAUUGCAAAUAUUAAUCUUGAACGAGGAAUUCCUAGUAAGCGCAAGUCAACAGCUUGCGUUGAUUACGUCCCUGCCCUUUGUACACACCGCCCGUCGCUACUACUGAUUGGAUGUUUAAGCGAGGUUCUCGAACUGCUAGCGACUUAGCUCCGGUGAGGUCGCAGUGUGGGAAGUGAACCUAGCUUUGGUGUCUAGAGGAAGUAAAAGUCGUAACA
rnacentral:rRNA from 1 species